UACGUAGGGGGCGAGCGUUGUCCGAAGUUACUGGGCGUAAAGCGCGCGUAGGCGGGAGCGUAAGUCCGCUGUGAAAGCCCCGAGCUCAACUUGGGAAUUGCAGUGGAUACUGGCAGGCUGGAGUACGGUAGAGGAAGGUGGAAUUCCCGGUGUAGCAGUGAAAUGCGUAGAUAUCGGGAGGAACACCUGUGGCGAAAGCGGCUCACUGGACCAUAACUGACGCUGAUGCACGAAAGCUGGGGGAGCAAACAGG
rnacentral:rRNA from 1 species